GUCUGAUUAUCAGUUUACAAGGAAAGGCUUUAAUUGAUUUAUCUCCACAUGUAUUUUCUCUGUCAAAAUUUUCAAUCAACAAAUUUAAUUUCUCAUUUGCUUUUGAUUUGAUAUCUCGGAUAAAAUAUCUGCAAGAUCUUAAAUAAUGUUGUUUAUUGCACCAAAAACAAAUAACUUUAGGAGUUAUAUUUGGCCUUUUAUUUGAGCAAAUUGGGAGUGGCUCAGCUGUCUGUAUCACUCUUUUACACUGAGUCCACG